AGUGAACGCUGGCGGUAGGCCUAACACAUGCAAGUCGAACGGCAGCACAGUAAGAGCUUGCUCUUACGGGUGGCGAGUGGCGGACGGGUGAGGAAUACAUCGGAAUCUACUUUUUCGUGGGGGAUAACGUAGGGAAACUUCCGCUAAUACCGCAUACGACCUACGGGUUAAAGCAGGGGAUCUUCGGACCUUGCGCGAUUGAAUUAGCCGAUGUCGGAUUAGCUAGUUGGCGGGGUAAAGGCCCACCAAGGCGACGAUCCGUAGCUGGUCUGAGAGGAUGAUCGGCCACACUGGAACUGAGACACGGUCCAGACUCCUACGGGAGGCAGCAGUGGGGAAUAUUGGACAAUGGGCGCAAGCCUGAUCCAGCCAUACCGCGUGGGUGAAGAAGGCCUUCGGGUUGUAAAGCCCUUUUGUUGGGAAAGAAAAGCAGCAGGUUAAUACCCCGCUGUUCUGACGGUACCCAAAGAAUAAGCACCGGCUAACUUCGUG
rnacentral:rRNA from 1 species